rnacentral:piRNA from 1 species
UCAUGCAAACAGCCGCCAACUGCCGAC